GCUUCGGUAGUUUAAUGGCUUAAGACGCUCGUAUGAAAUACAAGAGGUCCGGGUUCGACUCCCGGCGAAGGUA
rnacentral:tRNA from 1 species